GGUUAAGCGACUAAGCGUACACGGUGGAUGCCCUGGCAGUCAGAGGCGAUGAAGGACGUGCUAAUCUGCGAAAAGCGUCGGUAAGGUGAUAUGAACCGUUAUAGCCGGCGAUGUCCGAAUGGGGAAACCCAGUGCAAUUCGUUGCACUAUCGUUUGAUGAAUACAUAGUCAAACGAGGCGAACCGGGGGAACUGAAACAUCUAAGUACCCCGAGGAAAAGAAAUCAACCGAGAUUCCCCCAGUAGCGGCGAGCGAACGGGGAGCAGCCCGGAGUCUGAAUCAGCUUGUGUGUUAGUGGAAGCGUCUGGAAAGUCGCAGGGUACAGGGUGAUACUCCCGUACACUAAAACGCACAGGCUGUGAACUCGAAGAGUAGGGCGGGACACGUGGUAUCCUGUCUGAAUAUGGGGGGACCAUCCUCCAAGGCUAAAUACUCCUGACUGACCGAUAGUGAACCAGUACCGUGAGGGAAAGGCGAAAAGAACCCCGGCGAGGGGAGUGAAAAAGAACCUGAAACCGUGUACGUACAAGCAGUAGGAGCCUCUUUAUGGGGUGACUGCGUACCUUUUGUAUAAUGGGUCAGCGACUUAUAUUCUGUAGCAAGGUUAACCGUAUAGGGGAGCCGCAGGGAAACCGAGUCUUAACUGGGCGUUAAGUUGCAGGGUAUAGACCCGAAACCCGGUGAUCUAGCCAUGGGCAGGUUGAAGGUUGGGUAACACUAACUGGAGGACCGAACCGACUAAUGUUGAAAAAUUAGCGGAUGACUUGUGGCUGGGGGUGAAAGGCCAAUCAAACCGGGAGAUAGCUGGUUCUCCCCGAAAGCUAUUUAGGUAGCGCCUCGUGAACUCAUCUUCGGGGGUAGAGCACUGUUUCGGCUAGGGGGUCAUCCCGACUUACCAACCCGAUGCAAACUACGAAUACCGAAGAAUGUUAUCACGGGAGACACACGGCGGGUGCUAACGUCCGUCGUGAAGAGGGAAACAACCCAGACCGCCAGCUAAGGUCCCAAAGUCAUGGUUAAGUGGGAAACGAUGUGGGAAGGCCCAGACAGCCAGGAUGUUGGCUUAGAAGCAGCCAUCAUUUAAAGAAAGCGUAAUAGCUCACUGGUCGAGUCGGCCUGCGCGGAAGAUGUAACGGGGCUAAACCAUGCACCGAAGCUGCGGCAGCGACACUAUGUGUUGUUGGGUAGGGGAGCGUUCUGUAAGCCGUUGAAGGUGGCCUGUGAGGGUUGCUGGAGGUAUCAGAAGUGCGAAUGCUGACAUAAGUAACGAUAAUGCGGGUGAAAAACCCGCACGCCGGAAGACCAAGGGUUCCUGUCCAACGUUAAUCGGGGCAGGGUGAGUCGACCCCUAAGGCGAGGCCGAAAGGCGUAGUCGAUGGGAAACAGGUUAAUAUUCCUGUACUCGGUGUUACUGCGAAGGGGGGACGGAGAAGGCUAUGUUGGCCGGGCGACGGUUGUCCCGGUUUAAGCAUGUAGGCGGAUGUUCCAGGUAAAUCCGGAACGUUAUUAACGCUGAGGUGUGAUGACGAGGCACUACGGUGCUGAAGUGACAAAUGCCCUGCUUCCAGGAAAAGCCUCUAAGCAUCAGGUAACAUCAAAUCGUACCCCAAACCGACACAGGUGGUCAGGUAGAGAAUACCAAGGCGCUUGAGAGAACUCGGGUGAAGGAACUAGGCAAAAUGGUGCCGUAACUUCGGGAGAAGGCACGCUGAUAGGUAGGUGAAGUGGUUUACCCAUGGAGCUGAAAUCAGUCGAAGAUACCAGCUGGCUGCAACUGUUUAUUAAAAACACAGCACUGUGCAAACACGAAAGUGGACGUAUACGGUGUGACGCCUGCCCGGUGCCGGAAGGUUAAUUGAUGGGGUUAUCCGUAAGGAGAAGCUCUUGAUCGAAGCCCCGGUAAACGGCGGCCGUAACUAUAACGGUCCUAAGGUAGCGAAAUUCCUUGUCGGGUAAGUUCCGACCUGCACGAAUGGCGUAAUGAUGGCCAGGCUGUCUCCACCCGAGACUCAGUGAAAUUGAACUCGCUGUGAAGAUGCAGUGUACCCGCGGCAAGACGGAAAGACCCCGUGAACCUUUACUAUAGCUUGACACUGAACACUGGUCCUUGAUGUGUAGGAUAGGUGGGAGGCUUUGAAGCGUGGACGCCAGUCUGCGUGGAGCCAUCCUUGAAAUACCACCCUUUAAUGGCUGGUGUUCUAACGUGGGCCCGUUAUCCGGGUUGCGGACAGUGUCUGGUGGGUAGUUUGACUGGGGCGGUCUCCUCCUAAAGAGUAACGGAGGAGCACGAAGGUCAGCUAAUCCUGGUCGGACAUCAGGAGGUUAGUGCAAUGGCAUAAGCUGGCUUGACUGCGAGCGUGACGGCGCGAGCAGGUGCGAAAGCAGGUCAUAGUGAUCCGGUGGUUCUGAAUGGAAGGGCCAUCGCUCAACGGAUAAAAGGUACUCCGGGGAUAACAGGCUGAUACCGCCCAAGAGUUCAUAUCGACGGCGGUGUUUGGCACCUCGAUGUCGGCUCAUCACAUCCUGGGGCUGAAGUAGGUCCCAAGGGUAUGGCUGUUCGCCAUUUAAAGUGGUACGCGAGCUGGGUUUAGAACGUCGUGAGACAGUUCGGUCCCUAUCUGCCGUGGGCGCUGGAGAAUUGAGGGGGGCUGCUCCUAGUACGAGAGGACCGGAGUGGACGCAUCACUGGUGUUCGGGUUGUCAUGCCAAUGGCAUUGCCCGGUAGCUAAAUGCGGAAGAGAUAAGUGCUGAAAGCAUCUAAGCACGAAACUUGCCCCGAGAUGAGUUCUCCCUGACUCCUUGAGAGUCCUGAAGGAACGUUGAAGACGACGACGUUGAUAGGCCGGGUGUGUAAGCGCAGCGAUGCGUUGAGCUAACCGGUACUAAUGAACCGUGAGGCUUAACCUU
rnacentral:rRNA from 1 species